GACGAACGCUGGCGGCGUGCUUAACACAUGCAAGUCGAACGGAAAGGCCCUGCUUUUGUGGGGUGCUCGAGUGGCGAACGGGUGAGUAACACGUGAGUAACCUGCCCUUGACUUUGGGAUAACUUCAGGAAACUGGGGCUAAUACCGGAUAGGAGCUCCUGCUGCAUGGUGGGGGUUGGAAAGUUUCGGCGGUUGGGGAUGGACUCGCGGCUUAUCAGCUUGUUGGUGGGGUAGUGGCUUACCAAGGCUUUGACGGGUAGCCGGCCUGAGAGGGUGACCGGCCACAUUGGGACUGAGAUAGGGCCCAGACUCCUACGGGAGGCAGCAGUGGGAAAUAUUGCACAAUGGGCGGAAGCCUGAUGCAGCAACGCCGCGUGCGGGAUGACGGCCUUCGGGUUGUAAACCGCUUUCGCCUGUGACGAAGCGUGAGUGACGGUAAUGGGUAAAGAAGCACCGGCUAACUACGUG
rnacentral:rRNA from 1 species